UGUAAUGUGUUCCCUUUACUGAUAUGAAUAAACGUAUACUGCUCUUUCUGUUUAUUUCAUGUGCAGCCCAACAUGUGCCAUACCAAACCAGUUGGCUCUUAUAGUAUUGUAAUCCUGCUCCAAGAUGAAUUUCUUCUGCAGGGUUCGGAUACUAUUAAUACCUUUACCUUGUCCAAGAAGAUCACAGCCACCUCUUGACACUUAACUCCAGGUCAAGAUUCUUUAACAACUGGCAUCUUGAGGCAACACUGGUUCUCUGAGAAAGUGAAGGUUUUUGCUGGCUGGAUCAGAAAAAGGUAUAGUAACUUUUUUUAAAUGUAAGAUUGAUAACACUGAGGAAUACCCUGUCUUAUACCAAUCAUGAUUUUUAAUUUCUCUCAUUUUAGUAAAUACCACUCUUGAGAAAGCUUGCCUCUGCUGUAGCUAGUUGCUCUAUAUUACCUAGCAACCUCUGAAAAUGACAUUGACACCUUACAAUGACAUUGACCACAGGCAGACUCAGUGAUGACAAUAACAACAAUCGUCUCCUGGUCCCUCUGUGUGCCAGCCAGUGCACUGAACACUUACUAUUAUCUCUAAUUUCAUCCAUUCAGUAAACAGUUUUAAGGACAAUGUUCUGGAUGCUGGUGACACAAUGGUCACAAAACAGACAAGAAUUCCUCCUCUCAUGGAACUUACAUUCUGGAGGGUUAUGCUCUAUGUUUGGUAUUUUCCUGCCAUGGGUGUCUUGUUAUUCCCAUUGAAAGGAUGAACAAAUGUAUGUGGAAACCAUUGCUAUUGACUUAUCUGUUCUUCCUUCUUCCAAACCCAUAGAAUUUAGACUGGUAACACACCCAGUUAAAAAUAUUCACCUUUCCCCAAAUCUCUGGUAUUUAGAUGGCCAAGUGUGUGUGCAAAGGUGUUUGUGUGUAUAUAUAUGUGAAAUGAAAUAACACGUGUGCAAAACAGAAUGAGAUAUAUCUAGAAGUCACUGGGAAAGGGUUAUGUUCCCCCCAAAUCAAAAAAGCCUUCUGAGGAGGUGGUUUUGCUUCACUGUCUUUAGGAAGCAAUGCCUGGAAAUGGAGUAGCCAUCUGGGGGAUGGUGUCAAAAGCCACAUGCUGAGCAUUGUGAAGGGAAGAGCAUCAAGGAGCAGCAAGCAAUUGCACUAGUCUUGGACUCAUGAGUCACAGAUUUCUUGUUACAUGAGAAAAAUAAGCCCCUUUCUGGUUAAACUCUUUUGGCCAGGUUUCUAUUCCAGACAGGCAAACCCAAUUCUCACUGACCCAAGUGACUUGCUCAUAGCCAUUGAGUUAGUGAUGACAGCCAGGAUUAAGACACAGAUCUGUUUCAUUUUAAAAGCCAUUCUCAGGUUUGUCAAAGGUGAACUGCGGAGAGAUAGCAUGGGGAGAAACGCCAGAUAUAGGUGAUGGGGAGGAAGGCAGCAUGUCACACUGCCAUGUGUGUACCUAUGCAACAAUCUUGCAUGUUCUUCACAUGUACCCAAAAACCUAAAAUGCAAUAAAAAUAAUUUUUUAAAAGCCAUUUUCUUUCCAGGCUGUUGGGUACCCUCAAGGUUUGUUACUCUGUCUAUGUACUUCUCAUUUUAGUUUCCUGGAGGCUAGGAAAGUGUUCAGGAAUUCACAGAUUCUUACAUUCCUUCCCGAGAUUUAAAAAUUUAUUUCUAUGUGUAUCCUGUGCAAUAUUUGACUUUUCACAGGUCCAUUCAAAUGUGACCUCAACUCUCCAAUACUCCUGGCACAGCUCAGCCACUGACUUCCACUGGCAGGUUCCAUCAGCAUAGCAUCAUAGAACUUACCAUUCUCCUCAGAAAUCAGAACUGUGAGACUUUUUACUAAGCCACCUUUAUUUUAUUUUUAUUAUAAGGAGUAAGUUAGCAGCACUGGGACCCAUAUUCACCCCACUCAAGAGAUUGGAAGUCCAACCAUCACCCCUCCCCCCCCAUAUUACAGCCUGGUACCUGCUUCCUCCUGAUUUUUCUUUCUUGUGAGAGUUGAUGUAUCCUUGAUCCUGAAAACCCCAUUCCCCCAUCAUCAUUUUCUCUGAAGCUGACAGCUUUUCUGUUACUUAUAACACUUGCAUUCUGAUCUUUCAGCUGUUGGACCUGGGUGUCCCCCAAACCUCCACAAUGACCCCACACAUUCAAGCAUGCAGGUCUAGGACCCUCCCAACCUAUCUCAGUUGGUCAGAGUUAACCAGGUCAAGCCUAUCUGUGUCCUGAGUAAAACAUACACACACUUACACUCAAUAAUAAUACUGAAAAACUCAUUUAAGUGAGCGCUGCUGUAGUAUCUCCCACACAGCACUAUGAUAUGAAUUGUCAGCAACUAAUACUCUUCUCACAAACUCACUGCUAAAAGCACAGAUUCCUACAUCAGGGACCUACAAGAGACAUUCUUUAGGAGAACAAAGCACUGCUAGAGAGCAACAGUACAUCACCUACUACACCUUCAAAGAACAGAAUGCUCUAAAUUCUUUCUCUCCAAGGACAGAAUCUCCCUCAGGAAAAUGCAUAUGAGAAAUCUCAAUUCCUUUAUCAAAAGCCUCUUUCAGGCUGGUUCUCAGCACAAUAUGCAUGAGGUAAGCAAGUAAAGUAGAUUCAAGCAUGUUCAUGACAGUCUUCUUUUAAUACUUUGAAACAUUAUAAUAUGCAAACACAUAUAAGAGGACAAUUGCUGUUGGGUUGUUUAUUGCUAUGUAACAAACCAUCCCAAUUCUUGGUGUCUUGAAACAACAGCCAUUUUUAUUUUCUCUCACAAUUUUGUAGAUUAACUGGUCUCAGCUCUAUGGUUCUUCUGCUUCACUUGACAUCCACUCGAUCUGAGUCAUCUAAGGGCUUAUCCGGAUUAUAAUGUCCAAGAUGACUAAUUUCACAAAUCUAGUGCCUUGGCAGGAACAGUUGGAGGGCUGCCCUCUGCUGGGAUGCUGGGAUAGCAGUGCCACUUUCUCACUCUACAUAGUCUCAUCUGCUCAUCUGCGCUCUCUCUCUGAUGCUUCCAGUAAGGUAACUCGACUUUUUAAACGGCAGGCUUCCAAAAUCAUGCAAGUAGAAAUUGUCAGGCUUUCCUAAGGCUUGGGCCCAGUUACUGAUACGGUGUCAUUUCCACUGCAUUGUAAUAAUGAAUCAGAGGGCCAGUCCAGAGUCAAUAUGACUCUAGACUAUAUUGCAGUGUGAACUAGGAGGCAUGGUCUAUUGAGGGCCAUCUUUGGAGACUAGUUACUGCCGUUCCUGUUCACUCUACCAAAUGUGGAAAUGACACUUGAUAUGUUAAAUCUCCCUUUAGAAGAAAAUACGUCACUAUUUUAGGCCCAUGAGUCAUCUAGAUGCAUAGAUAUAGGGAGCAUCUAGAAAUCAAACAAAUCUAGCAAAUCUGACUUGCUUGAAAAACAUGAUCAGGACCUCUGAGAAAGUCACAUUUUAUUCACUUGUUACAUACAGAAGAAAUCAAGCUUUUGAAAUAAAUGGGUAAAUCUAAUAUUUGUGGGAUAAUUUAUAACAUCAGCUAUUGGAUAUUAAUUAGGGAUAGGCACUGGGCUAUCAUUCUUUACAUGUAAUUUUGUCAAAUCUUCAUAAAAACCAUAUGGGAUAAGUAUUAUUCUCUCCAGUUUCCAGAUGAAAAAUUGAAGUUCAAUGAGGUUUGUGACUAGCCUAAGAUCACAAACCUAGCAACAGGACAAGCCAAGAUAUAACUCAGGUCAACCUGAUAUUGAAACCCAUGUGUUCUUAAACACUACACUGUCAUCUACAUGGAAACAAGAGCCACAUCCCAUACUCCCAUCUAUAAUUUCCUAUCUGGACACCAUGCCGAAGUCAAGAUUUUAAAAUCCACUUUGUAACUUGGCAUGACAGUACAGACAGUUUCCUCAGAGCUCUCAGAUCUGCAAGCAUAUGCCUCUGUGUUUAAACUGAACCUUAUCCAAACCCCAAGGUUAUAAUUGAGUAAAAAUUUCUUCCUAGGUUAUCUAAGUAUCAGGAAAAUUCUCCCUUUGGCACUCCAGCUGUGAAUCACAAACUCUAAUUCAUGCCAUCUAAGCACAAAUAAAUGGGACACCUGUGGUUUUCAUUUGUGGUAACAUAAUUUUGGAAACAUCUCACGAACAAUCAGCUUAUCCCAUAAAAUGUAAGUGCUUUGGUAAAAGAUUUAGUGAUGGAAAAAUUGCUAGUGAGCUUGUAUUGAUAUAUCUACAACGUUUGGCUCAGAGAGGCCUUGUCGGCACUGUGUUCCAGUCACACAGGGCUGCUGCUGUCUGUUUUAAGAAUUUCCUGUACCCUUGUUUUGAGGCCUUUACCCUAUUCCUCAUUUAGAAAGCCUUUUGCAUCCAAUUUCCACCUUUCUAAAUCCUUCAAGUCCAAGCUCAGAUCUUUCCAAAUCAAGUUUUCCCUCACCAUUUGAGUUGAAAUAAAUUAAUCUCUCAUCUGGUAAUCUGUAUUAGUUAGCAAUUACCACAGGAAAAAAGAAUCACUCCAAAAUGUAAAAGCUUAAGACAACAACUGUUCAUUUGCUCAUAAUUGUAUGGGUCAAUAACUGGGCAGAGUUUAACUGGCAUUGACGGGGUUUACUUCUGUGUUUCCAUCAGUUGGUGGACUGGCUGGGGGCCAACUGGCCAGCUGACAAGGACCUUACACUCAAGCCUGAGGCCUUGGCUGUGUUGCUUGGAAUGGCUGGGCAGUUUGGGCCUCUGUCUUCACAAGCAGAGAGCAAAAGUCAUAAUGUUGUUGUAGAGCACCAUUUUGCCCCAUUUCAUUGAUCAAAGCAAGUCAUAAGGCUGGCCCAGAUACCAAGGGUAAGGAUGAUAAAAUUAGACUCCAACAGAUUCUUUUUCAAAUAUGGCCUCAUUGUCUUGAUUCAAAAAAAAAAUUCUGUAAUUUUCUUCGAAGUUGGA